ACUGCAGAGAAGGCAAUUUUCCACGGGAAUCCCAUGUGGGAGGAAGGGAAGGGAUGGAGUCUCAGUGCUAGCAGGAAGAGGAAGGUGCUUCAGAAAGGGUUUUUACUUACCUCUUCUGACAACUUACCCUAUGGGCAUUUCCGGCCUUUGUUAGUGUUUUCUACAAAACUGGUGCUGGAGAUUAAUCUGUGCCCUGUGGGUACUAGGUCCACUUCUGCACAUUAUCUCCAGGCUCUGCCACCAGAAAGAGAUUCUCCAUUUCUCUUCUGUUUUUCUUCCU